AAAAAAUCAUUUUUUCCCCUUAGACUAAAAUAGAUACAAUAGAGAGAAGACCGGUAUAGCCCCUGCACAAGGAUGUCAUGCAAGUGUGCGAAGCGGUCCAUACUGUU